GCGUCUCUUUGCUGAGCUACCUGUGAUUCUCAUCAAUCACAUUUUGCAGACGACAACGGUUGAAGCUGGCGCAUCAGCAGGCGGCACCAAGAGAGACGCAGAUCUGGUCUCACCAAGCGAUCCUGGAGGAGCGGAGGGCGGAGUUCUUGGUGUGCUUGUUGGCGGGCUUGCUCUAAGCUCGACUGAUGGAUGAAGAGGACGAAAAUCAUGGACCCGAAGGUGGAAGGCAGAUGGGAGGAGAAGAUCCGUUCGAUGGUGUUGAGUGGUCAUCAGAAGCUUCAGAGGAUCAGCCAGUGUUGACUUCACGGCUAUCAGUCAAGCAUGUUGUCGAGGUUAUCCAAAAGUUUGACGAUUACAAGAGGUGGCUUGUAUCCGAGAUUGGUUUUGAGGGGAUGCUGAAACUGCCAUUGUUGCAAAAGAUAGAUCUGAGGAUGAGUGCGUGGGUUAUGAGGAAGGUGGAGGUGAAAUCGCGUGUAAUUUCUAUUGAUAAAGACCGUUUGAUUUUGUUCACAGCAGAGGAUUUUCAUAAAAAAAUGGUGUUCCUUGUGGCAAUCGGGCUAUUCGUGGAAGGGAUGGUGAAAUCAGGUGUGCAGGAAUAGAGUUUAUUAAGCAGACAAUUGGAAUGAAUGGAUCAGCUGCUAAUAAUCUUAAGGUUGCAGAAGACUUCACAAACAGGGAUAUUUCAGAAGAGUCGAGCAAGCUUGAGAAGGAUUGUUUUCAGAUAUCGUUUGUUAUUUUUGUCAUCGGCUACCUUUUGUCACCUGGCAUGAAGCAUGAGUACAAGAUGAUAGACUUUUAGGGUGCUGUGGCGAAUCAAGAGUUGAUAUCACAAUUCAAUUGGUGUGAGUACGCUCUUCAGGAUCUGAUGGCAGCUGUGAUGAAGUUGAAGGUGGAGUAUAAGAACAAGGCGCAGAUAGUUCACUUAUUUGGAUGCCAUCUAUUCUUCCAGGUUUUCUUGCUGGACAACAUUGAUCCGGGGAUUUUCAACAUGGUGCAUACUGUAUUCCCUCGUAUUCAGUGUUUUGAUCAGAAAAGACUUAGGGAAAUGAUAGUGAUGGCGCGUUGUGAUCAGCGUGGUGUCGUAACUUAUGUCCCUGGAGCGGUGCGUCCUACAGAUUCGGUGUGUUAUACGCGUGUAGUUCUGGGGAGCCCACCAUGUGGAGUUGCUACAUCAAUUCCAUCAUCAUCGAAGCGACCAGUUGUUGGGUCCUUCGAGACACCAAAACGUGAAGCAAUGGUGGGCGGUGUAAGCGCCAACAAAAGCCCAGCAACUUCCCUGGGUGAUCCUAUGGAGAAUCGGUUUGUUGGUCUGAGUGAUUUCAGCAAGCAUCUUCCUCAGAUUUGCAAAGAUGAUUCGGUCUUGGAGGAGUUGAGCCUUAUGCUGAAACAACACAAUGUGAAGUGUACACUGAGUACGACAUUGCUGCGUAACCAAUUGCAGUCUGAUAUGUUUUGCUUUGCUGAGAAAAUGGUUGCAUUUGUGAAGGACCAAUGUAGAUGCUGUGCAAAAAAAGGGUUGUCCAAGUGUAUUACAAUUUGUGAAACUGGUAUUGCUCAAUGAUGUCUUCUUUCAGAUGUCAAUUUAUGUUGUGAUAAAACAAUAGAAGCUAUGUUUUCUGUUUGCUGUGUGGCGAAUGCUAGUUUUGUUGUAUAUAUGUAUAUCAGAGCAGGUGGCGAUCGUCGGAGAGGAGUGAGUGAAGUGGGACGCAGGCUCGAGAUGUUUGAUGAUGAAGGUGCCAGCAAUGCGAAUGAUGAGGCUAAUGAGCAAAGAAUAAAAAGGAGCCGAAAUGUUAUAAACGAAAGCAGAAUGGACUUGCGAUAUAUGCACAAAAUAUCGUCGAGAUGGUUCAAUCCCUUCAUGAAAAUGAGUCACAGGAGGCAAAUGUUGUUUAUUUUAGUUCAACUGAAGCAAAGCUACCAAAGCGUAGGUAUGUUGCAUCUGCAAGUUUUUGCGGUGAUCCAUGGACACGGGGGUGUCUCCCGCAGCCGCCUCCAAUAGCAUUGACGAGCAAGUUCAAUUCAUGGAUAGCUGGAGGGAAUGAUUUUGACCGGGACAGUGUAUGGUUCCUGCACAUGGUUCCGAGACUUGUGAGGGUAAAUGCUGGAUGUGUCCAGCAGCAGAUGUUGGGGAUGAAUGCUCUUGAUCAUGAGGUCGUUACUCUUGUGUUGCGGAGGUUUUAUCAGCUUGACACUGCCGUGGAAGGAGCAAGCCCUUAGAUGUUGUGGAGGGAAGUUCUUGCGCCAGAUUUCUCGACACAUGUUCUUGCAGGGGAGAAAGUCCUGCAUAUCAAGGCUGUUCAGUGUCAGCUUGCAAACACGGUGCACGAUAUCACGGCUUGUAGGACGUUUUUUGUCCUUGUUAUUCUUGAUCAAGGUUGGGCUGCAUAUAUGUGGGACAUGCUGAGGAAGGAGAUUCAUGUCCUUGAUCCUAUGUGCCGCGAAGUUGAAGGUGCGGAGCAACGCCAUAUGAUGCAUCAGGAGGCAGUAUCGCAGAUUCACAAUGUAUUGUUCUGCUACUUGAAUGAGUUUUUUGCAAAGUGGCAUUGCACAUCUGAAAGAUGGAGACGGAAGUUUCCGAGGAUUACUGCUGAUGUUUUCAACAGGGAGGAGUCUAGAAUUUGUAUGACCCAUGCAAUCAGGCAGUAUGAUGGGGACAAGAUGAAGUGGCCACUCACCAAGGUAAAUCUAUUUUCUGCUUUUUUGUCAUUAUUUGGAAAAAUGUAUUUGUUUUCUAUGUUUCAGUAGUUAGAUGCUCGACUGCUGGUUGACCGUGAGAAAUGCAGAAAAAUAUUGCAAUCUUUCGGAAGUUGGUUGCAUUUGAGGUCUUCCGUUUAUGUGAUGACCAUGGGAAGUUCAUUGUGGAGAGUGUUCUGCGCGUCGCAUUUGAUGAACCUGAGGGGUGAUGCAUAUGAAAUGGAUGUAUGGUCCGGAUGCUUUUUAGCAGCAUGCGAGGGGGUCGACUAAGUUGACAUGGGGAGUGAAGAAAAUGUGAGGACUUGCUGAAAUAAUGUAUCCAUUUAUGUAUGGCAGUUAUGAUGCAUGUCGUAUUAAGUACUAAGAUCGGAACUUUUUUAUAAUGCCUUGUUAGAAUCGGGCACCUCAACAGAUGCUUAAAUGUUAUGGGAAAAUGGAUUGAAAUUGCAAGGCUAACACAAUCGGAAUGGUGAUGGUUUAUAUUUGUGGUAGGAGUGGUUCCUUAUUUCUCGUGGCCUCAUUGUUAGUGUUGAAAUGAUUUUUUUCGAGAUUAUCCGGUGUGGGUACAUAUGGUGAUGGAAUUUCGAAGGUAUAGUGUGAGCGUUGGUUGACAGUGGUAGCAAGAGUUGCAUUAGGUGAGAUGGAGGUGCAUGGCGCCCCUCAUCAUUUUGAUGAUGGAAAAUCAUUUUUUGUUCGUAAUUAUUGUAGUGAGUGAGACAAAUUAACUAUUUCAGAAAGUGAGACAAAUUUAUUGGAAGUGAGUGUUAAAUGCUUAC